rnacentral:SRP_RNA from 1 species
CUUGGGCAUGGUGGCACAUGACUCUAGUCUCAUCUACUUGGGAGGCUGAGGCAGGAGGAUCGCCUGAACCUAGGAGUUAUCUAUGGCGAUCAGGUGUUCGUACUAAGUUUGUCAUCAAUAUGGUGACCUCCUGGAGCGGGGAACCACCAGGUUGCCUAAGGAGGGGUGAGCCGUCCCAGGUCAGAAACCAAGCAGGUCAAAAAUCAUGGGCUGAUCAGAAAGUUAAAUUAUCUUUUCUUAACCUCAGUUUCCUCAUGUGGAAAAUGAAACCUACCUCU